rnacentral:rRNA from 1 species
UACGGGGGGAGCAAGCGUUGUUCGGAUUUACUGGCGUAAAGGGCGCGUAGGCGGCCAGCACAAGUCAGUUGUGAAAUCUCCGGGCUUAACUCGGAAAGGUCAACUGAUACUGUGCGGCUAGAGUGCAGAAGGGGCAACUGGAAUUCUCGGUGUAGCGGUGAAAUGCGCAGAUAUCAGGAGGAACACCAAUAGCGAAGGCAGCUCGCUGGACGGUACUGACGCUAAGGGCGCGAAAG